rnacentral:lncRNA from 1 species
CAGCCCCCCGGCUUUAAGGAAGAUGCCAGCCCUGGUGACCUGUUGUUUGGAGGGGAUCCUGUCAACCUGAGAGUGGGCUCAGUCUCCACCGACUUCCACCUCAUGAAAGUGAGAGUGAUGACUGAGAAGAAGAGGGUGAGGAAGGCUCACAGCAAGCUGAUCCAGAAGAGAAGCCCUACUGAGAUCUCCCACCAAGGGUUAGACUGUGAGGAGGAGGAAGAGGAGGGGAGCACCAAGAAUCACCCUCUCCCUGUCAGCGUAGAUUCAAGUGAGCAUGAAGGGAACAAAAAUAACACCCCCCCAGGCAGGAAAGUGGAAGCACCUUCUUUGUGCCUUCAAGAUACAGGUAGAAAGAAGAAGGCAGGAAUAAAAGAGACAGGCACAAUGCCUUGCCCAAGGGCAUCCCAGCAGAUAAACCUCCUGAACCUUGCCUUUAGCCAGGAAGAGGUAACAGGACCUGAGAAGAAAAGGAAGGUCAGUGAACCAGAGAAGCUGCCUCUGAACAGCAGGAAAUUAUGUUCAUUCUGACACAGAAUACAUUUUGGAAGGUGUGAGUUUGCACUGUCAUCUGACUGGUGCAGACCUUUCCUUCUCCCAGUGUUUAACCCUUCCACGUGCCCUGUGUAUUUGUGAAUGUUUGUCUCAUGAAAACUCUGGAUUGCAGAGAGACAACAAGCCCCAUAAUUGUCAUGACAUUGUCAACAACCAGCCCUUGUUUGAUGUUCUAACGUUGAGGAUUUAUAAUUCUGUACCAGUGGUGUCUGUGUGCUUCUUUCUGCCUCCUUCCCUCACACCUCCCACCUCUCACUGGCUAAAUUCCCUCCUCUGGGGCUGGUGUGUCCUGUGCCACUCUGUCACCCAUG